CUGUUCCCAUGUCGAACACAGAAGUUAAGCUUCUUAGCGCCGAGAGUAGUUGGGGGAUCGCUCCCUGCGAGGGUAGGACGUUGCCAUGC
rnacentral:rRNA from 2 species